rnacentral:rRNA from 1 species
UACGUAGGGGGCAAGCGUUGUCCGGAUUUAUUGGGCGUAAAGAGCGUGUAGGCGGCUUGUUGCGUCAGCUGUGAAAAACCCCGCAGCUCAACUGUGGGCUUGCAGCUGAUACUGGAAGGCUUGAGUGCGGGAGAGGAUGUGGAAUUCCAGGUGUAGAGGUGAAAUUCGUAGAUAUCGGGAGGAACACCGGUGGCGAAGGCGGCGACCUGGGUCGACACUGACGCUGAGGCGCGAAAGC